UAGGGAAUCUUCCACAAUGGGCGAAAGCCUGAUGGAGCAACGCCGCGUGUGUGAUGAAGGGUUUCGGCUCGUAAAACACUGUUGUAAGAGAAGAAUGACAUUGAGAGUAACUGUUCAAUGUGUGACGGUAUCUUACCAGAAAGGAACGGCUAAAUACAUGCUAG
rnacentral:rRNA from 1 species